GACGUAGGGGGCCAGCGUUGUUCGGAAUUACUGGGCGUAAAGGGCUCGUAGGCGGCCAACUAAGUCAGACGUGAAAUCCCUCGGCUUAACCGGGGAACUGCAUCUGAUACUGGAUGGCUUGAGUUCGGGAGAGGGAUGUGGAAUUCCAGGUGUAGCGGUGAAAUGCGUAGAUAUCUGGAGGAACACCGGUGGCGAAGGCGGCAUCCUGGACCGACACUGACGCUGAGGAGCGAAAGCCAGGGGAGCAAACGGG
rnacentral:rRNA from 1 species